rnacentral:lncRNA from 1 species
ACCAGACAGACAGUGAUUUCUGACAAACAGAAUCCCCCUCAAGAAAAAGAAUCCAAAUCGAAGGCCCUCUCACCCGUUCGCCACUUUGUUUUCAACUGUUCCCACCUCCUGGGCGAGACAAGCUACCUUCACGCUAGGUCAGAGGGGGGUGGUUAGGCCCUCUCACCCGUUCGCCACUUUGUUUUCAACUGUUCCCACCUCCUGGGCGAGACAAGCUACCUUCACGCUAGGUCAGAGGGGGGUGGUAGACUGACUGUUAAGUGUACCCCCUCAUGACCACUCACAA